rnacentral:rRNA from 1 species
ACAAGUGUUGAUGAACAAGGAUCUUCUCCUUUUGAUAUCUAUGACCCUAGAAACCGGGACGCUCUUGACAACAAAGCAAGAGAUAUUCUGAUUGAAAAAGGGCCUACAAGGGAAUACAAUCUUGUAUUCGAAACGGAUAAAAUUGAAAGACAUUUUUCGUACGCUUACUACUCAAAAAAUGCACAAAGGAGCCGUUUCUCAUGA